rnacentral:rRNA from 1 species
UACGAAGGGUGCAAGCGUUACUCGGAAUUACUGGGCGUAAAGCGUGCGCAGGCGGUUCGGAAAGAGAGGUGUGAAAUCCCAGGGCUUAACCUUGGAACUGCACUUUUAACUACCGGGCUAGAGUACGUCAGAGGGGGGUAGAAUUCCACGUGUAGCAGUGAAAUGCGUAGAGAUGUGGAGGAAUACCGAUGGCGAAGGCAGCCCCCUGGGCUGACACUGACGCUCAGGCACGAAAGCGUGGGGAGCAAACAGG